rnacentral:rRNA from 1 species
CACAGAAGGAGCAAGCAUUAAGCAUAUUGACUAGGCGGACAGCAUGUUAAGGCGUUAUGGUUUAUUAUUAAUUAUUUACCAAAAGAAAGGUCCAAAACCCGGAGGGUUUUGGCCAACGAAAGGUAAGGGAAUUUUCAGAGUACCAGUCAAAUGGGCAUAACUUGGAAGGAACGUCAGUAGGCGUAGGCACUUACCUUGUGUAAACUUAAGCCCUCACAUGGAAGCUGGAGUAGCAAACGGG